rnacentral:rRNA from 1 species
UACGAAGGGGGCUAGCGUUGCUCGGAAUCGCUGGGCGUAAAGAGCUCGUAGGCGGUCUGUUGCGUCGGCUGUGAAAACCCGGGGCUCAACUCCGGGCCUGCAGCCGAUACGGGCAGACUAGAGUUCGGCAGGGGAGACUGGAAUUCCUGGUGUAGCGGUGAAAUGCGCAGAUAUCAGGAGGAACACCGGUGGCGAAGGCGGGUCUCUGGGCCGAUACUGACGCUGAGGAGCGAAAGCGUGGGGAGCGAACAGG